GUGAAUCAUCGAAUCUUUGAACGCACAUUGCGCCCGCCAGUAUUCUGGCGGGCAUGCCUGUUCGAGCGUCAUUUCAACCCUCAAACCCCCGGGUUUGGUGUUGGAGAUCGACAUGAGUCCCCUCGGGGGCGACGUCGUCUCCCAAAUAUAGUGGCGGUCUCGCUGUAGCUUCCUAUGCGUAGUAGCACACCUCGCACUGGAAAACAGCGUGCCCACGCCGUUAAACCCCCAACUUUCUGAAGUUUGACCUCGAAUCAGGUAGGAUUACCCGCUGAACUUAAGCAUAUCAAUAAGCGGAGGA
rnacentral:misc_RNA from 1 species